AAUGAACGCUGGCGGCAUGCCUAACACAUGCAAGUCGAACGAAGGCUUCGGCCUUAGUGGUGCACGGGUGCGUAACGCGUGGGAAUCUGCCCUCAGGUUCGGAAUAACAGCGAGAAAUUGCUGCUAAUACCGGAUGAUAUCGCGAGAUCAAAGAUUUAUCGCCUGAGGAUGAGCCCGCGUAGGAUUAGCUAGUUGGUGUGGUAAAGGCGCACCAAGGCGACGAUUCUUAGCUGGUCUGAGAGGAUGAUCAGCCACACUGGGACUGAGACACGGCCCAGACUCCUACGGGAGGCAGCAGUGGGGAAUAUUGGACAAUGGGCGAAAGCCUGAUCCAGCAAUGCCGCGUGAGUGAUGAAGGCCUUAGGGUUGUAAAGCUCUUUUACCCGGGAUGAUAAUGACAGUACCGGGAGAAUAAGCUCCGGCUAACUCCGUGCCAGCCGCCGCGGUAA
rnacentral:rRNA from 1 species